CACGUAGGGGGCGAGCGUUGUCCGGAUUUAUUGGGCGUAAAGAGCUCGUAGGCGGCUCAGUAAGUCAGGUGUGAAAACUCCAGGCUCAACCUUGAGACGCCACUUGAUACUGCUGUGGCUAGAGUCCGGUAGGGGAGCAUGGAAUUCCUGGUGUAGCGGUGAAAUGCGCAGAUAUCAGGAGGAACACCAGUGGCGAAGGCGGUGCUCUGGGCCGGAACUGACGCUGAGGAGCGAAAGCGUGGGGAGCAAACAGG
rnacentral:rRNA from 1 species